CUAGGAAGAGACCCGCGACGAGACAAAGACAUAGGAGGAAAACGCUCUAUGAUGGCACAGGAAGAGCUGGGAUGUCAGUAUGAACCAAGGAAUGCUGGAGGUGGUAAGCAAGCCACCGGAGGCUGUACAGAGCCAUUCCCCUCCAGGACAAAGGUGCCCCGCUUCCAAUGGAGCAGAGAGUGGCAACAGGUGGUACAGCUCAAGACAGACCCUGGUCCGGGGUGUGAGCUUCAAUGCUGGCCCCGGUAGACACCAGCAGUGGGAUUUGGAGCAAUUUACCUAAACUGUGUGCUCCUGUAUCCUGCUCACAAAAUGGGGAAAUGAAUAGUUUGAGUCCCAUAGCCGUGGUGAGAUUGAUCAAGUCAAGUGAUCUUAUGGAUCACUUGUGGAAAUAGGGACUCGGGACAGCACUGGACCCACUGUGAAAGCCAUGUCUCAUCACAAUACUGAUAAAUAUCUUUAUCUUUU